UACGUAGGGUGCGAGCGUUGUCCGGAAUUACUGGGCGUAAAGAGCUCGUAGGUGGUUUGUCGCGUUGUUCGUGAAAACCGGGGGCUUAACCCUCGGCGUGCGGGCGAUACGGGCAGACUCGAGUACUGCAGGGGAGACUGGAAUUCCUGGUGUAGCGGUGGAAUGCGCAGAUAUCAGGAGGAACACCGGUGGCGAAGGCGGAUCUCUGGGCCAUUACUGACGCUGAGGAGCGAAAGCGUGGGGAGCGAACAGG
rnacentral:rRNA from 1 species